rnacentral:rRNA from 1 species
AGGACGAACGCUGGCGGCGUGCCUAAUACAUGCAAGUCGAGCGGACUAAUUGGAGCUUGCUCCAAUUAGUUAGCGGCGGACGGGUGAGUAACACGUGGGCAACCUACCUAUAAGACUGGGAUAACUUCGGGAAACCGGAGCUAAUACCGGAUGACACAAAGGAACUCCUGUUCCUUUGUUGAAAGAUGGCUUCGGCUAUCACUUAUAGAUGGGCCCGCGGCGCAUUAGCUAGUUGGUGAGGUAACGGCUCACCAAGGCGACGAUGCGUAGCCGACCUGAGAGGGUGAUCGGCCACACUGGGACUGAGACACGGCCCAGACUCCUACGGGAGGCAGCAGUAGGGAAUCUUCCGCAAUGGACGAAAGUCUGACGGAGCAACGCCGCGUGAGCGAUGAAGGCCUUCGGGUCGUAAAAAGCUCUGUUGUUAGGGAAGAACAAGUGCUAAGUUGAAUAAAGCUGGCA